AAAUGCACAAUGUGAGUAGUGAUUCCUAAGCAUUUAAGGGGUGAUUUUCAAGUAAUAGAGUGAGCAGAAGACACCAUGUACAGGGACUCCAGAUGCCCCAGGCAGAGGUAAAAUGCUCGAAAGAGAGGAACAUCACUACCUGGCGGGCAGGUGGGGACAGGCUUGCCACGGAUGGUCUGGGGAUGGGAUAACUCUCUGGCUCCCACUCUGAGAAGCAGGAGGUGAUCUGGCCACAAGCCCUCAAGACGUGUUGAGUUUGGGAAUACCUCACUGCUAGGGAAUACCAGGAAUUAUGCAAUUCACUGUCUUCAUUUUAAAAUUCUGUAUGGGAGAAGCUAAAAAGUGAAGUUGGGGGGUUUUAGUAUAUUUCAUUUGCAUUGGUUUACUCUUCUCGUUCCUUGAUUAUCUGAGAGGAGGCUGCUGUUACGGAAAAGCGAAAACCAGGAGUGGUUUGAAUAUUCUUCCUUGAGACUUUUGACUGUUUCUAUAAGAAGUGGAUCUGCAUGUGCCUUUUGGAUAUUGUGUUCCUCAUGACAAUGCCUUUUGUUCAUAGAUAGUUCCCAGUUUCCAAAGACUUUCCCCAUUAUAACAUUUGUUCCAUCCUCAAAACCGUCAAAUGCAAAGGCCUCCAUUUUAUUAAAGGAGAAAGUACGACUCAAAGAAGUCAAGUGACUCACCCGAGGUCACACAGCUAAAUUCUAGCAGAGCAAGGGACCAAGAUAGUGAAUUCUAAAUGCAGAGACCUUCUUAUUGUUCCAAUUUUCUGUCCGACAAUGCCCACCUCCUGGAGUGAGCAAGUCUUGCUGGAGACACAACAGCAGCUACAAGUGGUCCUCCCGACUAUUCCAGAAAUCCUUUUUCCACAGUGAAAAACUGAAUUUGCCUGCCCCAGUUUCCCAGCCGCCUCAUGACUCGAUGAGCAAUUGCUUUAACUCUGACAAAAUUAGGCCACCUCCAACCUAAAUGUAACCCGUUUUCAGAGUGAGACCCUGCAUGGAGGCAGCUCUUUUCCUGAAAGGAUAACAAAAGCAUGCUUUUGUGUGUAUUUCACUUGAUGGAAAGAAAUCCCCAGUGAGGCCGUUUUUUCCCCCUGAAUUCUCCCAAGUCCAGAAUGUAUCCAAGUUUCCAAUAUUACCUCAGAAGAGCCAUUCAUCUAUGAAGAUGGCCGAAUUGUCUUCCAGCUCGGUAGACAGUGUGUCUGCGAGAGAGAAGGGCCUGUCAAGAUCUGCCUGGUGAGCUGUCACUUGUCAUCACUUGGCUCUCAAUGAGGAUCUUUGUGUCUUCACUGUCAUGAAGAGGCAUGGCAACUGGCAAAGAAUUUCCUGGGGCGCUACCUGAUCCACCAUUAUUCACCUCUUAUCAUCUUAGCAGAGUAGUUACGCCACUGUCAGAGGUAAUGGAGACCAUGCCACUAAGAAAAUUGGCCGUAAUUUAUUUAUCAGUUGUUUCUGUAUACCACAAAAGCGGCCUUCUACUUUACGGCUGGGUCUAAGGUAUUUGAGAGCCCUCGAAGUUCAUGGUUUUCCGGUAUUCUAACUUCUACUUAUGGCCUUUCCUGUAGAUGACACACAACACCGCCCUUGUGGCUUGCAGUCAGUUUUCUUCUUUGCUUUCUUUAGUCACAAAUCAUCCUGAGGCAUCCCUUAAGUGCAUUUGUAUUGUUAAGUGCACCAGCUUGAUUUGGUGUUAAUUCAAUUUGAGUGCCCUUAAUAUCUUGUGGGGGUGAUGCAAUGCAGGCUGCCUCUACCUUGUAAAAUCGGGUCCCAGGUCCGCCUGCGAGCAAAGCACCUUUCCCAUAGCCACUUACCAAAGUUGCUGAUAAAAUUUUCAUAAGGGAACCUUUUUAGUCUGACCCUAUUGUGUUAUUCUACCAUUAAGUCUCAGAGAACUGAGCUGGCUUCUAGUGACAGCUUAUCACAUUCUCCAUUAUUGCUGCCUGCCCAGAGAGCUGGCUGGCUGUGUGUAGUGCAAGCUCCCUCCCUCCCCACCACUUCUGGGACGUUCUGGGAAAAGCUUGUGGGCCAGCACCUCGGGGCUAAUGGGAGAUUGUCUCUCUGUGGGUGCCAGAGAACUGAGCUCUCUUCCUGAUGAGCUGGUUCCUUUCACCUUGGAAAGCUCGAGGGGCCCUGAAGGAUGAGGAACCUGAGGGAUAAGGAGAGCAGUGAAGGGUGAGCUGAAGUGGAGGAAGAGUUACAAAGCACUUUCCUUAAAACAGCACAGAACGCAGCCACAACCAUGUGAGCACCACUCUGACACACAGUUUGAGGCAGAGGAUUAGACCAGGUAUUUGUCUUUGGAAUAUUUGCUUUAGAAACAUGAUGACAUUAUUCACUCCAAGAGAACUCCAAAAUCAUGGGCCACUUGUCCCUGGGUUGGCAUCUGAACUCAGUAGCUUAUUUGCUUUGUGACCUUGAUCAGUUUUCCUAUCUGUGAAAUCAGCACCCACCUAUGGGUUUGUGUGCAUGGUGUGUGUGUGUGUGUGUGUGUGUGUGUGUGUGUGCUGAUUAAAUGAGGCAACACAUAUAAAGACCACCAAAAACAGUAUCUCCUGUGACUAUCUUAGAAUCCAGGAGGCCGUCAAAGGGCAAGGUGAGAAAGCUGGUUCAGACAGUGCAGAAAUUAUCUGGGUACCACAAGAUGAGAAAGAGAUAAUAAGUCUAGAAACUUGGUCUUCUGAUCCUUGACCCAAUCUAGGUCCUUUCCGUCCAUCCCACUGUCUCCCUAAUGCUGUCCAUGGACAUCAGGAGCUUGAGUAGAUUUGGGGUGCAUCAGGCUACUUUCUACUUCCUUGAUGACAAGAUUUCUUCACUGCAGACUAACCUCUUCUCGGUCACUCUUCCUUGUUUUGUUGACUGUGUCUGAGGAAUGGCUUAAAUCUGCCUAACAGUGUGAGCAUUGCCCCUACCUGUCUGCUGCGUUGGGUUAAAAAGCAUGGUAGUCCAAUAAACAGAACUGGGAGAUGCUCUUUCAAAAGAGCAUUUAAAAAUUAUUGUUCACUGUAGAUGUCACAGAAGUAUAGAUAAAGUGCAAAUACUACAGCAAAAGGGAAAAAUCCCCUGUCAUGCCACCUAUAACCGUGAAGUCACGUGCUGUGUUUUCUUCCUCUUUUUCUUUUCUUUUUUUUUUUUUAUUAUACUUUAAGUUUUAGGGUACAUGUGCACAUUGUGCAGGUUAGUUAUAUAUGUAUACAUGUGCCAUGCUGGUGCGCUGCA
rnacentral:lncRNA from 1 species